UACGGGGGGGGGCAAGCGUUGUUCGGAAUUACUGGGCGUAAAGGGCUCGUAGGCGGCCAACUAAGUCAGACGUGAAAUCCCCUCGGCUUAACCGGGGGAACUGCGUCUGAUACUGGGUGGCUUGAAUCCGGGAGAGGGAUGCGGAAUUCCAGGUGUAGCGGUGAAAUGCGUAGAUAUCUGGAGGAACACCGGUGGCGAAGGCGGCAUCCUGGACCGGUAUUGACGCUGAGGAGCGAAAGCCAGGGGAGCAAACGGG
rnacentral:rRNA from 1 species